GCUACCAGCGAAACUUGAAGUCAGCCAUCUUUGUUCGGCGAGGCGCGGGAAUUUGGACACGCUUGGUGCUCAUAUUUUGAGAUAAAAUGUGCAUUGCCCAAAUGACUUUACGAGAGUCUUCAAAUACUGAUUACGUAAUGAGUAUUGGUCUGCCAAGUAGAUCAGACAGACUUUUGCAUGCUGCCCUAUAGCAGGCUGGACUUGACCAGACCAGUGCCUAGACUAGGCAAGGCAGGCUAGAUGACCAUCACCAUAGUGACUGGGAUGACCUUAAGGGUGACUGAUCACAUGACUAGAGACGCUGGUUACUGGUGGACGAUUCAUCAGGCUCAUCUUGAAGACUGCUGAAGGGACUUGGCUGGACUGGAGUGGCCUGUGUUAGACAAAAGCAAAUCCAUGGCAAUGACAGCUCCCUAUCCAUCAUGCAAGAUGUGCAUGCAUCUUCAAAGGCCAAAAUGUCAGGCUCUUAUGAGAAGGUGACUGAUCACAUGACUAGAGACGCUGGUUACUGAUAGACGUUUCUUCAGGCUCAUCUUGAAGACUGCUGAAGGGACUUGGCUGGACUGGAGUGGCCUGUGAUAGACAAAAGCAAAUCUAUGGAGUUAACAACAGUUUAUAUCAGUAAAAGUUGCAUUCCCAGUGCUGUUCAAGGAAUAUUUUUUUUUUCUCAUAAAUUUUCAAUUUUUAUGUUUGAUAUCCAACCCCAAAACUCAACUGGACACAAACAGAUCCACUUUCUGAGCAGACUAACUCCCGGUCCAUACAUUAUUAUUAACGAUUGUGAAGUGGGAACCAGCCUAUACCCUGCAAGCACAAAUUAUUGUCGAGAUGCAUGUAAUUCAAUCUUUAGGCCGCUUUUUUUCGCAUGUCUUAUUCAAAGCAAAUAACUUUUGUUUUGCCAAAAAAAAAUUGCAAUUGUUGAACACAAAUCUAUUUUUCAGGAUGAAACUUGAAAAUAGCACAGGGAAUGCAACUUUAAACUUUAAAGAAACUUAUAUGGAAAAUAAAAUAAAACAUAAAUUGAAAAACAGUUGUUCCAGGCACAUGUCACAAAUUCAGAAUAUGUGUUUGAAAUUAUAGAAGAAAAUUACACAUUGCAAAAAUUGUACAGAAGGAAACAGUGGUUUAAAUUUUGGCAAGAGGCCUGAUUACAGUCCUAACUUAUUUCAGACUUGGCAGUCUUAACACGAAUACACUCUGUAUCCAAAUAUUUACACUGAUAAUUCCCUGACUCUUCAAUUUGUAUUAAAAGUGUUUGCACUUCAGGUCUUUAUGGAACAAAAUUUGAAACUAUAGUAUAUCCUGUACACUCUCUUUAACGACCUUCACAAACAUUACUUGACAAGAACCGUCUCAAAGGUUAGAACAUUUUAGAAUGUUUUGCAAUAAGGACUGCUUUUUUUGUUGGUUGGUUAUUUCCUAAAAGAAAUUCAGAAUUUGUUUGACGUGUGCCUGGUUCAUAAUGUUCAACUUGUGAUAAAUUGUACAAUGAAAAAAAAACUUUAAAUUUUUAAUCUUAAUAUUUACCAUGCUUUUAAUUAUAUGGAUCUACAUGUAGAAUGGCACAUCAUUAUUUAGUAGUUGUGUGAAUGUCUUUGAUGUCUGUUACUGGUAAUAUUUCAGCAAUUUAAUUAAAGUUAGUGUAUCAUGUUUUUUCCCAAAAUUUCGAUUUUCUUUUCCUGAAAAUAAUGCCCUGCAACAAAUAAUAGGC